rnacentral:rRNA from 1 species
CAGUAGCCACGGGAAUACGAAGGGGGCUAGCGUUGUUCGGAAUUAUUGGGCGUAAAGAGCUCGUAGGCGGUUUGUCGCGUCUGCUGUGAAAACUGGAGGCUCAACCUCCAGCCUGCAGUGGGUACGGGCAGACUAGAGUGCGGUAGGGGAGAUUGGAAUUCCUGGUGUAGCGGUGGAAUGCGCAGACAUCAGGAGGAACACCGAUGGCGAAGGCAGAUCUCUGGGCCGUAACUGACGCUGAGGAGCGAAAGCAUGGGGAGCGAACAGGAUUAGAUACCCGCGUAGUCCCUGUCUCUUAUAC